UUUCGGAUAAUCGCGGUUAUUAAAUUAACUGAGGAAAGUCCAUGCUCGCACAAGCUGAGAUGCUUGUAGUGUUCGUGCUUAACGAAAAAAUAAGUUAAGGUACCCUAUUAGGUUAACGGCGAAAGAACUAUCUAAGGCUUCGGCUAUGAUUUAGUAAUUUGUAAAGUGCCACAGAGACGACGCUUAUAGGAAACUAUAAGAUUGGAACGCGGUAAACCCCUCGAGCGAGCAACCCAAACAUUGGUAGGGGCAUUUCUUCGAGUAGUAAAUGAACAAAAGAAGAGAACGAUAUUAUUAUCGUAGAUAGAUGAUUAUCCAUUAUCCCUAGUUCCUAUGCUAGAGAUAAUGACAGGACAUGGCUUAUAG
rnacentral:RNase_P_RNA from 1 species